rnacentral:rRNA from 1 species
GCGGACGGGUGAGUAACGCGUGGGUAACCUGCCUUGUACUGGGGGACAACAGUUGGAAACGACUGCUAAUACCGCAUAAGCGCACAGCUUCGCAUGAAGCAGUGUGAAAAACUCCGGUGGUACAAGAUGGACCCGCGUCUGAUUAGCUGGUUGGUGAGGUAACGGCCCACCAAGGCGACGAUCAGUAGCCGGCCUGAGAGGGUGAACGGCCACAUUGGGACUGAGACACGGCCCAAACUCCUACGGGAGGCAGCAUG